rnacentral:rRNA from 1 species
GAUGAACGCUAGCGGCAGGCCUAACACAUGCAAGUCGAGGGGUAGAGUUAGCUUGCUAACUUGAGACCGGCGCACGGGUGCGUAACGCGUAUGCAAUCUACCUUAUACAGAGGGAUAGCCCAGAGAAAUUUGGAUUAAUACCUCAUAGUAUUAUCGAGUGGCAUCAUUUGAUAAUUAAAGUUCCAACGGUAUAAGAUGAGCAUGCGUCCCAUUAGUUAGUUGGUAAGGUAACGGCUUACCAAGACUAUGAUGGGUAGGGGUCCUGAGAGGGAGAUCCCCCACACUGGUACUGAGACACGGACCAGACUCCUACGGGAGGCAGCAGUGAGGAAUAUUGGACAAUGGGCGCAAGCCUGAUCCAGCCAUGCCGCGUGCAGGAAGACGGUCCUAUGGAUUGUAAACUGCUUUUAUACAGGAAGAAACAUCUCUACGUGUAGAGACUUGACGGUACUGUAAGAAUAAGGAUCGGCUAACUCCGUGCCAG